UGUGUUAUGGAUUGAUGGUGGAGAUCCACACAGAGAUGAAGAUGGCAGUAUCAUUUGUGAUCUCAAAGUAAUGCACAGAAAGAAUGAAGAGGCUGCCAAGAAGAUUGUAGCCACAAAGACCAAAAGAUUAACCACCAGAGCUGAAACUGAGGCUGAAACCUCCCAUCAGACAUCAGAUGUUCCAGAAGAACAACAGCAUCAGUCAAAGAUC